UCCAGACUCCUACGGGAGGCAGCAGUGGGGGAUAUUGCACAAUGGAGGAAACUCUGAUGCAGCGACGCCGCGUGAGGGAAGACGGUCUUCGGAUUGUAAACCUCUGUCUUUGGGGAAGAAAAUGACGGUACCCAAAGAGGAAGCUCCGGCUAACUACGUGCCAGCAGCCGCGGUAAUACGGAGGAUGCGAGCGUUAUCCGGAUUUAUUGGGUUUAAAGGGUGCGUAGGCGGGCUGCCAAGUCAGCGGUAAAAUGGCGGGGCUCAACCCCGUCGAGCCGUUGAAACUGGCGGUCUUGAGCGGGCGAGAAGUAUGCGGAAUGUGUGGUGUAGCGGUGAAAUGCAUAGAUAUCACGCAGAACCCCGAUUGCGAAGGCAGCAUACCGGCGCCCGACUGACGCUGAAGCACGAAAGCGUGGGUAUCGAACAGGAUUAGAUACCCCCGUA
rnacentral:rRNA from 1 species